rnacentral:lncRNA from 1 species
CUCGAGGCUGUAACUCUGUUGACCCUCUGGUCAAUGUGUCUCAGUGGGGCCCUCCAGCCCCAACUCUCUGUGGGCCCUCUGGCCCUAACUCUAGGGACCCGAAAGUCCCAACUUUGUAACUCUGAAUCAUGCAUAUCACAUAUCACAAUAAAUCACAACACAUAAUAACAUGCAAUCACACUGGCAUAUAACUCUAUAAUACUCUGUCUCUUAACUCUGUUACCACACUAGGUAAAGUAUAGUGAGAAGACUCACCUCGGGUAUCUCGGUAAAUCUCUGACUCGGUAAAUGCUGGCCUAGCCUCCGUCUAAUCAUAUAAAAAUAAUACUCUAUUUAGUAUAACUCUCAAGGCUAGACUAUGCUCUCUUAUGACACUCUCAGAAGGGUAAAAGACCAUUUUACCCCUCCCAUAGCUCAAAGGCCCCACAAUAGACCAUACCCUAAAAGUCAACCAAAAGUCAACUCUCCGGGUUACGCUGCGCGUACCAGAUGUGUACGCUGGGCGUACCCGGCUGCACCACAGAAUCGGGGAGCGCCUCCCAGUACGCGGCGCGUACUAGGAAUUACGCUCGGCGUACUCCCCUGCAUCAGCCCUCUUGCUCUUGAGGUCUUAAUCAGUUAAGACCUACGUCCAUAUUUUAGAUCUGACCCCUUCUAAGCCCCUUAAUCCAUAAAGUUGAUGACUUUAAGCCUUUGCAUGGCUGAACAAGUCACUAACUCCCAAAAUGAUCCAACCUUCAACUCUAGAAGGCUUAAAACACAUGCAUGACUCCAAAGUAACAUCCAAGAUGGGAACUUUAUGGCUCUACAUCACUAAUAACACUGAAAAGGGACAGAUCUCGGACCAUGGAGUACUUUACACUCAUAAAGUCUCCACCUUUGGGGUUUUUAGCCCUAAAAAGGACACAUACAACAACAACCAAAAGAAGAGGAAAGUUUUGAACUUUAUACCUCCAAGAGUAGCUCUUUCCUCUGUAGAUCUCAGAUCCAAAAUGGCACCUCAAGCUUUAGCCUCCAAGAUCUCCUUUCCUUCUUCUUCACCAAGCCUCUAAAGCACCAACAAGCUCAAAUCAACACUCUCACACACUAAGAACGAUGGGGCUCUCUUUUAGGGUUUCACUCACUGAUAUGGAGGCUAAGGAAUGAGCCAUAACACCCUUUAAAUAGUGCACAAGGAGGAUUAGGGUUUUUGCACCUGGGCCGGGUACGCCCGGCGUAACUCUAGGUACGCCCAGCGUACCUUGGCGACUCCGCGUCCAAAUUAAGCGCGUGAGUACGCGCAGCGUACCCCUCUGGUACGCCCAGCGUACUCACUUGCUACACAUCCUCCACUCAAGGACUAAACAUGACAAUUCAAUAAAGAACAAGGAUGAAAGAAAUGCACCUGAAUCUCGGGGUGUUACAAUUCUCCCCCACUAGAACUAGACUUCGCCCUCGAAGUCUCAUUCCUCGAACAACUCUGGAUGCUGCCCUCACAUCUCCGACUCUGACUCCCAAGUCAUCUCGGAUCCCUUCCGAUGUUGCCACUGAACCAAAACCAAAGGCACCUCCUUGUUCCUCAAAACCUUGAUCUUUCGAUCUCUGAUUGCCACCAAUCUCUCAACAUAAUUCAGGCUCGCAUCCACCUGCAUAUCCUCCAAUGGUACCACUUCCGACUCAUCGGCUAUACACUUCCGCAAUUGAGACACGUGGAAAGUGUCAUGGAUCUGACCUAACUCUGCAGGUAGCUCCAACCGGUAGGCUACCCUGCCUACCCUCGCAACCACCCGAAAAGGACCGAUAUAACGGGGCCCCAACUUGCCCCUCUUCCUGAAUCGGAUCACUCCUUUCCAAGGAGAGACCUUCAGGAGUACAAAGUCGCCGACCUGGAACUCGAGCUCGGACCGGCGCCUGUCCGCAUAACUCUUCUGACGACUCUGAGCGGUCAAUAACCUCUGCCUGACCUACUGUAUCUGCUCAGUCGUCUGUAGCACAAUCUCUGUACUACUCAUAACACGCUGCCCGACCUCACACCAGCAAAUGGGAGUCCGUCACCUCCUCCCAUACAACAGCUCAAAGGGUGGCAUACCAAUGCUCGAAUGAUGGCUGUUGUUGUAGGAAAACUCUGCCAAGGGAAAAUACGUGUCCUAACUCCCCCCGAAAUCCAACACACACUCCCGGAGUAUAUCCUCGAGCGUCUGAAUUGUCCGCUCACUCUGUCCGUCAGUCUGGGGGUGAUAUGCGGUACUAAAAUGCAGCCUAGUACCCAGCUCCUCAUGAAACUUCUUCCAGAAUCUGGAAGUGAAACUCACAUCUCGUUCUGAGACAAUCGGGAUCGACACUCCAUACCGAGAUUCCACUUCCCUCAUGUACAUCUCUGCCAACUUCUCUGCGGAAGAGCUCUCACUGAUAGCAAGGAAGUGGGCACUCUUUGUCAACGUGUCCACAAUCACCCAAAUUGCAUCGACUCCCCUUGCAGUUCUUGGCAAUUUCAUGAUAAAAUCCAUGGUAAUCUGUUCCCACUUCCAUUCGGGAACCUCCAACGGCUGCAACUUACCAUGCGGUCUCUUGUGCUCGACCUUAACCCUACGGAAGGUUAAGCACCUCUCAACAAACCAUGCGACAUCCCUCUUCAUACAUGGCCACCAAUACUCCCUCCUCAGGUCUAAAUACAUCUUAGUGGCCCAGGAUGGAUCGAGAACUUCGACCGAUGAGCCUCCUGAUGGGUUUUGGUCCUAAGAACAUCCUAUGUGCUUAUACAAACCCUAAUGCUUGGAUCUAGGUUUCUCUAUUGUACAUGCAAGUUAUCGAAGACUAUAAACCCUAAUUCUAGCAUACAAGUAAUCAUAUUAAAUAAUAAUGGGUUUAAAAUAUUGCCUUGACUGUUAUGUAGCAAUAACAAUCCCAAAUCUCCUUGUAUUGACUUUAGAAAUCUUAGAGUCACAAAUGUCACUCCUCUAAUGGUUCACAAACACCAUAAGCAAGAGGAUGAAGAGGAGAGAGGAUGGAGGCUGCCCAAGAACGUGUGAAAAAAGCUUAGCCACGUUUUUGGUCCUUAAGGGGUCUAUAUAUAGUGAGGCCAUUAGGGUUAUCUAACAAGGAAACCCAAAAGGACCAUAAUUCAUCCUAUCAAGUUGCUUUGGUGAAGGCAACCCAAAAGGACCCUCUCGUCAGCUAUGGAAUCUUAGUGAGUUUCCCCAAAUACCACAAUAAUCACAUAAUAGCCACUCGAGGCUGUAACUCUGUUGACCCUCUGGUCAAAGUGUCUUAGUGGGGCCCUCCAGCCCCAACUCUCUGUGGGCCCUCUGGCCUUAACUCUACGGAUCCGAAAGUCCCAACUCUGUAACGCUGAUUCAUGCAUAUCACAUAUCACAAUAAAUCACAACACAUAAUAACAUGAAAUCACACUGGCAUAUAACUUUAUAAUACUCUGUCUCUUAAUUCUGUUACCACACUAGGUAAAGUAUAGUGAGAAGACUCACCUC